rnacentral:rRNA from 1 species
CAGUCUCCGCGGUAAUACGUAGGGUGCAAGCGUUAAUCGGAAUUACUGGGCGUAAAGCGUGCGCAGGCGGUUAUAUAAGACAGAUGUGAAAUCCCCGGGCUCAACCUGGGAACUGCAUUUGUGACUGUAUAGCUAGAGUACGGCAGAGGGGGAUGGAAUUCCGCGUGUAGCAGUGAAAUGCGUAGAUAUGCGGAGGAACACCGAUGGCGAAGGCAAUCCCCUGGGCCUGUACUGACGCUCAUGCACGAAAGCGUGGGGAGCAAACAGGAUUAGAUACCCCUGUAGUCCCUGUCUCUUAUAA